rnacentral:rRNA from 1 species
CGGUCCAGACUCCUACGGGAGGCAGCAGUGAGGAAUAUUGGACAAUGGAUGGAAAUCUGAUCCAGCCAUGCCGCGUGCAGGAAGACGGUCCUAUGGAUUGUAAACUGCUUUUAUAUGGGAGCAAUAAGAACUACGUGUAGUUCGAUGAGAGUACCAUAUGAAUAAGCACCGGCUAACUCCGUGCCAGCAGCCGCGGUAAUACGGAGGGUGCAAGCGUUAUCCGGAUUUAUUGGGUUUAAAGGGUGCGUAGGCGGAUUGUUAAGUCAGCGGUGAAAUUUUUCGGCUCAACCGGAACAUUGCCGUUGAUACUGGCUAUCUAGAAUAUGGUUGCUGUGAGUAGAAUGUGUGGUGUAGCGGUGAAAUGCAUAGAUAUCACACAGAAUACCGAUUGCGAAGGCAUCUCACAAAGCCAUUAUUGACGCUGAGGCACGAAAGUGUGGGGAUCAAACAGGAUUAGAUACCCUGGUAGUCCACACUGUAAACGAUGAUAACUAGCUGUUGGCGAUACACCGUCAGUGGCCCAGCGAAAGCGAUAAGUUAUCCACCUGGGGAGUACG